GACAGAGGGUGCAAACGUUGUUCGGAAUUACUGGGCAUAAAGGGCACGUAGGUGGUUCGCUAAGUUACGUGUGAAAUCCCCCGGCUCAACCGGGGAAUUGCGCGUGAUACUGGCGGACUCGAGGCGGGUAGGGGUGAGCGGAACUCCAGGUGGAGCGGUGAAAUGCGUAGAUAUCUGGAGGAACACCGGUGGCGAAGGCGGCAUCCUGGACCGGUAUUGACGCUGAGGCGCGAAAGCCAGGGGAGCAAACGGG
rnacentral:rRNA from 1 species